UACGAAGGUGGCUAGCGUUGCUCGGAAUCACUGGGCGUAAAGCGCACGUAGGCGGAUUGUUAAGUCAGGGGUGAAAUCCUGGAGCUCAACUCCAGAACUGCCUUUGAUACUGAAGAUCUUGAGUUCGGGAGAGGUGAGUGGAACUGCGAGUGUAGAGGUGAAAUUCGUAGAUAUUCGCAAGAACACCAGUGGCGAAGGCGGCUCACUGGCCCGAUACUGACGCUGAGGCACGAAAGCGUGGGGAGCAAACAGG
rnacentral:rRNA from 1 species